ACCUGUGACAUCAUCAUGGAGUGACAUCAUCAAGAUGUGACAUCAUAGAGUAUAUGAUGAUGUCACAACUUGAUGUCACAUGAUGAUGAUGUCACAGGUACA